UACAUUAAUGUACUAAGAGGGUAGAAACUCAGUCUGAUUAUGGUGUUCAAAGGUUGGGCCCUUGGCGAGUGAUUAGGUUGAAUUGGAUCACUAGGGUGGGGUCCCUGGGAUUGACUCUUGAUGGUUUUAUAAGGAAAGAUAGAGACAGAUACAUGUGCUGCCAGUCUCCUGCUAUGGGCUACCCUGUGCCAUCUUGGGAGUCUGCCAGCUGGAAGACCAUCACCAGAACUGUUGAACUUGGACUUGAGCCUCUAGAACCAUGACCCCAAACAAACCUCUUUUCUUUAUAAAGUUAGGCUGCCUCAGGUAUUUUGCUAUAGUCAUGAAAAGCUCACUAAUGUACUCACCUCUGGCCUCAGGACUACAUGGCCCUCUACAGACACCUGUGGGUGUGCGACAUUUUCCCUUGUGAUUCCUCAGAGCCAUAGUUCUGCUCACCCUCUGCUUAACAGUCUUGGAAGUCUUGCCCUAGCCUCCAGAAAAUUCCAAAUUUUUUUAGUGCUGGAUAGAAGGUCCUACUAGAAACCAACCUCUUUUUGCCUUUGGCUAGCCAAACCACAAGAGAGGUGAUAAUCAGAGGAGUUGGCAGAAAAGGGAGCAAAACCUCUCUGCCAUGGCUUUGCUCAUCUUAAAGUCAGGCCAGGGAUGCUGGUCAGAGGUGAAGUCCUGGCUCCUGACUCUGCAAGGUCACAGCUUCUGUUGCUAGCCCAAAUCUCCAGUUCAUACCCACAGUGCCCCUAGGAGAGCACCUCUUAGGAUCCUAGCCUCCGGUCAGGCUGAUGACCCUCUCCUCCAGUGACAUCUGAGUAACAAGGUGAUGCUUGGUGUUCCCUCAGCUACUAUGGUACAUGCCAGGUACUGUGCCAAGCCCUUCCUCAUUCAUUCUUCACAGCACCCCUACAAGGCAGCACAAUUGUUAUCUGCAUUUUGUGGAUGACCAAACUGAGACCCAGAGGUCAAGCAGCUUCUAGGUCCCACAGAUGGAAGAUGACGGAGCUGGGGUUUAUCAUCACAGGCACACCCUAAACCAUGGGCCAGCCCGUCUCCCGGGUUCAGGCAGGGAACUGGAAGGGAGGGGGCCCUUCACGGCACAUCACUGAUGCUUCUGGGUGAACUCGGCUCGCGUUAGCAGCUGCUGACUUGACAUCCCUUUUGAAAAGACACCUUCGCCCUCUUGGAGGAGUUGUGCAUCCCAUUUGCUAGAAAGGAUUGAGAAGUGUCUUGGGGAUGUGUUGCUGCUCAGCCUGCUGCUCCUGGGAGAAUCCUGGAAGUUUUGGUCACAUUUGGGAAGGAAAGGAGAGGGAAAGCUCAACCGGUCACCUUGAUCUCCGAGGCUGUAGCAGGGAAUCUCGAAGGUGACCUCCCACAUGCCCAGAGAGGAAUGGGUUUGGUGGCAAACUGACACCAAUGCAACAGCACCCCUAGGGACUGGAGGGGCUGUUCUGACAUCACAAAGACAGCAGCUGAGUUACAUGUGCCCUGUGCCUCCCCUCCAGGAUGGAGAAAGCCUCAUCACCUCCAGUGGAAGAGAGCAAGCGAGAUCAAUGCCAAAGGUGGUGUGCAGGCCCAAAGUUAUUUUUUGCUGAGUGGAGCAAAAUAGAAAAUGGACAUUUGCUCCUGGCACUGUGAUCUUCUCCAGGCCCCUGCCCUGUUACCCUGAUACAAUGUAUUUCUGGCACACACUUGUGAUACAGCUAGCAACCACUCUCCUCAAGCACUCAACUUGACAGCAAGUGAGAGUAAAAAAACAUCUGACACAUCAGUGAGGCGUGCCACACUCUAAACACAGUUCCUUCUUGAAAGAGAAGGGAAAGACUGAAAGAAAUUUAGGCAAAUGAAGCCCCAAAGCGCACUCCAAUUUUCUAUUUCUGAACUGAUUGGUAAGAGAAUGGGUAAGUGAAAUUAGCAAAGAAUCACCCCACACAAAGAUGGCGCGUGCAGAAUUUGUGAAAGCGAAAAAGAAGAGGAAGGAGAAGCGAGAGAGGGACGGAGUACUGCAGAGCUGGGGUGCAGCCGGAGUCCAGAAAUGAUUUUUUUCGAUGAAUUUAGGAUUUUGCCGCAGUAUACAUCUGCAGUCCCAGAAUCCUCCGGAGGGGAUUCGGAUGUAGAAUCCAAAGUGACCACACCCUGGUCUCACAGCUUCUCUGCUGCCGUUUCUGCUUAUUUUCGGGUCGAGUCAACACACGGUGACCAUUUUACAUUGAUUUAAGGGACCUAAUCCAAAGGAGCCACUCAUCCGUUUCCCUCUCUCUAAAGGAAGCUCAUUGUCUUAGGCACCCAAUAAAGGUUUAAUUAAUGGAUUUGAUAGAGUUAAGUAUCCACACGGUGAAUGGAAUCUUCUUUACAAUGCUGGUUUGAUUAAUAUUUCUUUUUUUGAAGUGCAAAAACAAUCUGGGCAUUUAUUUUUAUUUUUUUGCAGAACGAUAAUUCAAAAGUGUGUGUUUUCAGGUUCUAUGCAGCCACUGCUUGAUACGCCUAUGGUCUGGUAUCAUGGCAAGCAGUAUCUUCUGUUAAACCAGCGGGAGACACUUGGGUUUCUAACAACACAGCCUUAUAAUGUAGAACCAUUUGUUUGGUGCCAUUUCACAGAAUGAUUUAAUUUAUGUCAAACUCAUUGGACUGGCUCUUGAAGGAAAAGGUGGAAAAAAAAAAAAAAAGAUAACCCUGAGAUUUUUUUUAAAGAAAUGUAUUGCUCAAAGUCAAGUUCUUGUAAUUAUUUUCACAGAAUUACUUAUUUCACCAAGUCAUUAGGUAUUUUCAUGCUCUUUCCCUUUGGUUUGAUAAUAGUAUUUGUCUUGAUUUCAUAGACGUUAUUUCGUAUUUUUGACGAGACAACUGUUGUUUUAUGAGAAGCAAAUAAAAAUUCUGAGCAAUUUGUUAAAUCCAAAUAAUCUGUUUUAAUGCCAGUAAUUCUUAAGUAUACUUACAUGUGAUGGAGAAAACAGCAUGCUGCAUUGUUGCAAAUCUUACAUUUCU